AGGUCUGAGCUUGAAUUUGACUAAAGACUCCGACGAGGGCAACUUGGAUCUCUUCUCGAAGAAUCGCCGGACUCUCUCUGUAACUUCCUCCGACGAGUCUUCCGAUGUUUCGGUGAAAUUGGGGAGGCUUUCAGUUGGAUCGGCCAAAGUGGGAAGGACUGGUAUUGAUGAUCUGCUGUCAUCUGCAGAGGGUGGAAAGCACGAUUAUGACUGGCUUCUCACUCCUCCUGAAACUCCACUUUUUCCUUCAUCAGAUGGAAGUGAAUCUCAACCAACCUUAGCUGCUUCACGAA